rnacentral:rRNA from 1 species
UACGUAGGGCGCAAGCGUUGUCCGGAAUUAUUGGGCGUAAAGAGCUCGUAGGCGGUUUGUCGCGUCUGCUGUGAAAACGCGAGGCUCAACCUCGCGCCUGCAGUGGGUACGGGCAGACUAGAGUGCGGUAGGGGAGAUUGGAAUUCCUGGUGUAGCGGUGGAAUGCGCAGAUAUCAGGAGGAACACCGAUGGCGAAGGCAGAUCUCUGGGCCGUAACUGACGCUGAGGAGCGAAAGCGUGGGGAGCGAACAGG